rnacentral:misc_RNA from 1 species
GAUGAAGAACGCAGCAAAAUGCGAUACUUGGUGUGAAUUGCAGAAUCCCGUGAACCAUCGAGUUUUUGAACGCAAGUUGCGCCCGAAGCCAUUCGGCUGAGGGCACGUCUGCCUGGGCGUCACGCAUCGCGUCGCUCCCACCAUACCUUCCUUCGGGAUGCUAGGUUGGGGGCGGAUGCUGGCCUCCCGUGAGCCUCGCCUCGCGGCUGGCCCAAAUGCGAGAUCUCUGCUGCGAGCGUCGCGGCGAUGGUGGUUGUCGAAUAACUCGGUGCCCCGUCGCGAACGCCCCCAGCGUGAUGUCUCGGAACGACCCCUGCGCGCGGCCUCGCGCCGCACUUCCAACGCGACCCCAGGUCAGGCGGGGCUACCCGCUGAAUUUAAGCAUAUCAAUAAGCGGAGGA